GGUCUCCCGGCUGCCCCCACCACUCCCAGGGCUCCUAUCGGUGCUCUGUCUGUGUCUCACCCCAGGAAUCCCUCCCUGGAGGCCAGAAACCAAAAGCACUGGUUGGCUAAGUAUCUGCCCCCAGGGACGUCCGGUCCUAAUCCCCAGCCUGAGCCUCCUCACACAGGGGCAGGGACUCUGCUGCUGCUGCAAUUAAGAGCACAGGCUCAUGUGGACAGGUGGCAUACUUGGGUCCCUGAACAAGAUACGGGUUACAGGGGCCUUGCACACAGAAGCUGAGAGGUGCAGGCAGCCUGUGAGCAGCAAGGCUGCUCUCCUUGCUGCCCUGCGGGAAGGGCCCAGCAUCCAUGGCCACCACACCAGCCCCUGCGGCUCUGAGGCCCCAAGUCUGGUUUCAGCCACAGAGAAGGUGAGCAGCCGGAGCAAGGGCUAAACGGACAAGCAGCACCUGCCAGUCAAGCCCCCUCCCCACCCCAAGAGGGACUAAGGAGCAAACUGCAGCCCCACACACCAGGGAAGGCUUCCCACAGAAAACUGCUUAUUCAACUGUCAUGUUAAAGGUUUUCCAUGUCGAUGUGAUGUGAAUUGAUUUGAGAGACAGUUAGAAAGAGCACUGGGGCCACGUGUCCACAACCACCUCACAUGUGUUCGGGAGGGGUGGUGCACUCCCCCACUGGGCAUGAGAGCAUCUCCUAGGCCCCGCAGACACACCUGCUUUUUCUCCACACCUUCCCAGUAGUGUAUAUAUCCCCGGUCAAGAGAAGCUCUGUCCUCUCCCCAGAAGGAGAGGCCUCUUUAUGAGAAAAACAGUAACAGAAAAAGUGAUGGUGGGGCCAUUUACCCCAGAGUUGGCUGCACACCUUUGCUUUGUGGCCCUUGAGUAAGGCAAAGAGGGGCUGCGUUUUAGACUCUUCUCUGCAAAAUUGUAGUAAAGAAGGAGCAAAAUACAAACAGUUCCUAUGAAUCUAGAAACAAACUAACAAAAACUUGUAAGCAGACCUUGAAAAGCCCACAGCAGACUCUGAAGGAAAAUGUAAAUUCAAAAAGACUCCUGUGGCAGAGCAAGGGGUGGGGUGGGGAGAGGACUGACUCUGGGACCACUCCUAACCCCCCCAGCCUGACCCAUCACCCUUCUGACCAUAGGGCCCAACCCAGAAGGAUGAGCCUCCACCCACCAGACAGGAAGCACAGCUCUGCUGUGUCUGAUAAAAAGGAAAAGGGGGAGAGGGAGAGAAAACUGGAUGUUUUCCUAAACUCCCAUCACAGUCCUCCCCAGUGAAAAGGAUCCCACAGUGAUGUGAACCCCAUGCAGGACAUUCGUGAUCCACUAUUAGCACACAUUAAUCCUUCAGUGUACGCACCAGUAAUAUGUCUGCUAUAGUUGCAUUUCUGCUGUAUGUGCCUAUGAUAAAUCUGCUCUGUGUCCACUAUAUAUCUUAUAUCUAUACUGCAUCUACUAUGUGCCAAUGAUGUAUCUACUGUGUCUACCAUGUAUCUAUUAUGUAUCUAUUCUGCAUCUACUAUGUAUCUAUGAUGGAAUUAAUCUGUAUCUGUUUAUAUCUAUCUACUUGGACUUCCCUGCUGGCUCAGAUGGUCAAGAAUCUGCCUGCAAUGUGGGAGACCCGGG